rnacentral:ncRNA from 3 species
CAGAAAAGUUACCACAGGGAU